AGGAGAAGUCGUAACAAGGUAACGGUAGGUGAACCUGCCGUUGGAUCAGUU
rfam:Trichomonas vaginalis G3, whole genome shotgun sequence.